UUGAACGCUGGCGGCAGGCCUAACACAUGCAAGUCGAGCGGUAGAGAGGUGCUUGCACCUCUUGAGAGCGGCGGACGGGUGAGUAAUGCCUAGGAAUCUGCCUGGUAGUGGGGGAUAACGCUCGGAAACGGACGCUAAUACCGCAUACGUCCUACGGGAGAAAGCAGGGGACCUUCGGGCCUUGCGCUAUCAGAUGAGCCUAGGUCGGAUUAGCUAGUUGGUGGGGUAAUGGCUCACCAAGGCGACGAUCCGUAACUGGUCUGAGAGGAUGAUCAGUCACACUGGAACUGAGACACGGUCCAGACUCCUACGGGAGGCAGCAGUGGGGAAUAUUGGACAAUGGGCGAAAGCCUGAUCCAGCCAUGCCGCGUGUGUGAAGAAGGUCUUCGGAUUGUAAAGCACUUUAAGUUGGGAGGAAGGGCAUUAACCUAAUACGUUAGUGUUUUGACGUUACCGACAGAAUAAGCACCGGCUAACUCUGUGCCAGCMGCCGCGGU
rnacentral:rRNA from 1 species